rnacentral:rRNA from 1 species
GGCCCUACGGGGCGCAGCAGGCGCGAAACCUCUGCAAUGCGGGAAACCGUGACAGGGGGAUCCCAAGUGCUCAUGCAUUGCAUGGGCUGUUCUUUGGUCUAAGUAACCAGAGGAGUAAGGGCUGGGCAAGACCGGUGCCAGCCGCCGCGGUAACACCGGCGGCUCGAGUGGUAACCGUUAUUAUUGGGUCUAAAGGGUCUGUAGCCGGCCGGAUAAGUCUCUUGGGAAAUCUGGCAGCUCAACUGUCAGGCUUUCAGGGGAUACUGUCUGGCUCGAGGCCGGGAGAGGUGAGAGGUACUUCAGGGGUAGGGGUGAAAUCUUGUAAUCCUUGAAGGACCACCAGUGGCGAAGGCGUCUCACCAGAACGGACCUGACGGCAAGGGACGAAAGCUAGGGGCACGAACCGGAUUAGAUACCCGGGUAGUCCUAGCCGUAAACGAUACUCGCUAGGUGUCGGCCACGGUGCGACCGUUGUCGGUGCCGUAGGGAAGCCGUGAAGCGAGCCACCUGGGAAGUACGGCCGCAAGGCUGAAACUUAAAGGAAUUGGCGGGGGAGCACCACAACGGGUGGAGCUUGCGGUUUAAUUGGA